rnacentral:tRNA from 1 species
CGUGGCUCAAUGGUAGAGCGUUCGACUCAAAUACCAAAGGUCGCGGGUUCGAAUCCCAGUUG